AACGAACGUUAGCGGCGCGCCUAACACAUGCAAGUCGCACGAGAAAGGGCUUCGGCCCCGGUAAAGUGGCGCACGGGUGAGUAACACGUGGGUAAUCUGCCUUCGAGCGGGGGAUAACAUUCCGAAAGGAGUGCUAAUACCGCAUAAGACCACGACCUCGAAAGAGGUUGAGGUAAAAGCUGGCCUCUAUAUAUAAGCUAGCACUUGAAGAUGAGCCCGCGGCGCAUCAGCUAGUUGGUGAGGUAAUGGCUCACCAAGGCUAAGACGCGUAGCUGGUCUGAGAGGAUGAUCAGCCACACUGGAACUGAGACACGGUCCAGACUCCUACGGGAGGCAGCAGUGGGGAAUCUUGCGCAAUGGGCGAAAGCCUGACGCAGCGACGCCGCGUGAGUGAUGAAGGCC
rnacentral:rRNA from 1 species